GCGGAAGGCCGGACGGCCGCUUUGGGGGCGUAAGCCCCCCGAGAGGAAAGUCCGGACUCGCCAAGGCAUCGGUGCCGGGUAACGCCCGGGCAGGGCAACCUGACGGAAAGCGCCACAGAAAACAGACCGCCCGUCAUGCCCGAGGGGUUCCAAGGGACGCCAUGGCGGGGCAGGGGGAAACGGGGGGGGAAGAGCCCACCGGGGGGCUGGCAACAGCGCCCGCAUGGCAAGCCCCACCGGGAGCAAUGCCAAAUAGGGACCCCGCGUGCGUUCGCGGACAGGGCCGCCUUGGCCCGAGGGGUCCGGGUUGGCAGCUAGAGCCGUGCAGCAAUGUACGGCGCAGAGGAAUGGUCGUCUGAGGGCGGGUUUCGGCCCGUCCGACAACAGAAUCCGGCUUACAGGCCUUCCGCGCAU
rfam:Rhodobacteraceae bacterium PD-2 genomic scaffold scaffold3, whole genome shotgun sequence.